GCGACCUUUGGCUUUUUGGUUGGCUGCAGACACGACCCAGGAGGAAAAUUUUCAUGCACUCACGGGAGCUCCUUCUUUUGGAGACACAGAAGGUUCUAUUCACUUGCUGGACCGAGUUCUGAGGAAGCAGGAAAUGAAACGGGAAGAACUACAAGGUAGGUGCACAUGAGUGCAGGUGUUCUUGGAGGCCAGAAGAGGGCACCAGAUCCCCUGCAACUGGAGUUACAGGGGGCUGUGAGCUGCAGGACAUGGCUGCUAGCAACAGAACUCAGCCUCUCUGGAAGAGCAGCAAGCACUCAACCACAGAGCCAUCUCUCCAGCCUACUCGCCCCAUUUUGGUUAUCAUUCUCUGACUCUACUUCCCCAAACAUCCUUUUGCUUUUUCAUGGUUCUUGACUUUGUAUUAGUCCCUCUACUGGGAAGCAUCUGCAACCUGAUGCAUCCUCAAAACAUAACUCAGAAUUUACUUUUAUAGAAUACGUUCCCGGAUCUCAUUCCCAUGUUCUAGACUUGUACUUCUCGAGUAUACCUUUGAACACGAUUCAAACUCAUUAAAACGAGUUCAUAAUCAGUCAGUCAUGCUGGCUGGAGGCCAGGACUAUCCAUUCUAACAAACUUCCAGAAGCAGCAGCGACUGAUAGAAAACCACACUUUAAGAAGCAAGGCCUUACAGCAGUGUCUCCCUGCAUUAACUAAUUUGGCUUUAUACCCUCUUCGUUCAAAGCUCUUUGCAAUUAUAAUAAGGUCUUCUUUGUACCGUUGGUGUCAAGAACAUAUGUUUACUAAG